GGGGACAUAGCUCAGUUGGGAGAGCAACAGACUGAAGUUCGGGUAGUCAACCUAAAUUUUCUCUUCUGGAGGUCCCCAGUUCAAUCCUGGGUGUCCCCA